AUACGGAGGAUCCGAGCGUUAUCCGGAUUUAUUGGGUUUAAAGGGAGCGUAGGUGGAUUGUUAAGUCAGUUGUGAAAGUUUGCGGCUCAACCGUAAAAUUGCAGUUGAAACUGGCAGUCUUGAGUACAGUAGAGGUGGGCGGAAUUCGUGGUGAAGCGGUGAAAUGCUUAGAUAUGACGAAGAACUGCGAUUGCGAAGGCAGCUCGCUAGACUGUUACUGACACUGAUGCUCGAAAGUGUGGGUAUCAAACAGGAUUAGAUACCAUGGUAGUCCACACAGUAAACGAUGAAUUCUCGCUGUUUGCGAUAUGCAGUAAGCGGCCAAGCGAAAGCAUUAAGUAUUCCACCUGGGGAGUACGCCGGCAACGGUGAAACUCAAAGGAAUUGACGGGG
rnacentral:rRNA from 1 species